GAUCCUGCCGGAGGUCAUUGCUAUUGGAGUCCGAUUUAGCCAUGCUAGUUGCACGAGUUCAGACUCGUAGCAGAUAGCUCAGUAACACGUGGCCAAACUACCCUGUCGAGCGGGACAACCUCGGGAAACUGAGGCUAAUCCCGCAUACGGCUCUCAUCCUGGAGUGGAGAGAGUCCGAAACGCUUUCGCGCGACAGGAUGUGGCUGCGGCCGAUUAGGUAGACGGUGGGGUAACGGCCCACCGUGCCAGUAAUCGGUACGGGUUGUGAGAGCAAGAGCCCGGAGACGGUAUCUGAGACAAGAUACCGGGCCCUACGGGGCGCAGCAGGCGCGAAACCUUUACACUGCACGCCAGUGCGAUAAGGGGACUCCAAGUGCGAGGGCAUAGAGCCCUCGCUUUUCACCACCGUUAGUGAGGUGGUAGAAUA
rnacentral:rRNA from 1 species